rnacentral:rRNA from 1 species
GAUGAACGCUGGCGGCGUGCCUAAUACAUGCAAGUCGAGCGGACGGACAAGAAGCUCGCGUCCUUGCUGUUAGCGGCUGACGGACGAGUAACACGUGCAUAACCUACUUAUAUGACUGGGAGAACUUCGGGAAACCGGAGCUACUACUGGAUCAUAUUUUGAACGGCAUGGUUCAAGAGAUCAUGACGCUUUUGCCGUCUGUUUUAGACGAAGCCGCGUUGCAUUAGCUAGUUGGUAAGGUACCGGCGUACCAAGGCUACGAUGCUUAGCCGACCUGAGAGGGUGAUCGGCCACACUGGAACUGAGACACGGUCCAGACUCCUACGGGAGGCAGCAGUAGGGAAUCUUGCACAAUGGGCGAAAGCCUGACCGAGCAACGCCGCGUGAGUGAUGAAGGUCUUCGGAUCGUAAAACUCUGUUAUUAGGGAAGAACAUAUGUGUAAUUAACUGUGGACAUUCUGACGGUACCUAAAGAAAAAGCAACGGCUAACUACGUG